GGAGUAUUGACGCUUGGCUGUGAACUGGUGUGGAGACGCUAACAGUGCAUUGCAAUGAGGCAGCAAAGAGAAAAGAUUAAACCCAUAGAUGAAGCUGAUGUGCCCAUGGCAUCGUCCUCCCUCAAAGAUGAUGAGCAGUGCAUUACAAUGAGACAAGCAAGACACAAGUUUAAACCCAAAGAUGAAGCUGAUGCGCCCGGGGCAUCGUCCUCCCUCAAAGAUGAUGAGCAGGGCACACUGAUCUUCCUCAUGUUGAUACGCCCAUGGCAUCGUCCUCCCUCAAAGAUGAUGAGCAGGGCACACUGAUCUUCCUCAUGUUGAUAUGCCCAUGGCAUCGUCUUCCCUCAAAGAUGAUGAGCAGGGCACACUGAUCUUCCUCAUGUUGAUACGGCCAUGGCAUCGUCCUCCCUCAAAGAUGAUGAGCAGGGCACACUGAUCUUCCUCAUGUUGAUACGCCCAUGGCAUCGUCCUCCCUCAAAGAUGAUGAGCAGGGCACACUGAUCUUCCUCAUGUUGAUACGCCCAUGGCAUCGUCUUCCCUCAAAGAUGAUGAGCAGGUGACUAAUUUUCUGCUGUUGUUAUUAUUACAACAAUAACACAACAUAGUUGUUUGGAUGUUGAUAGUGAGGUUGGUAGACACAGUUCUUACAGUGCUGGUUAACGUAAGAUACAUACAUUGUGAGGACUGCGUGUGUUUUGGAUAUGCAAGUCUAUUGAAAGAUGGGCUCUUCUUAAAAUGAACAAUUACAAAAUGCUGAAAAAAUGUGCCUUUUGUAAUGUUCACUUUUCUGCUUUGAAAUUGAUUUGCAUAAAUUGUAAAGGUGAGGAUUUUUGUUCAGUCAUUUUAGAUGAUUGUCUGUCAAGAUAUAACAAGUGGAAAUUUUUACCCGUAAUACUUAAUAUUUUAUGUUUUCAUCAAAAGAGAGAGAGGUUCCUCAUGAGUCUUGUUUUGUUGAGUAUGCCAUUAGAGUAGACUG
ensembl:lncRNA